rnacentral:rRNA from 1 species
AGUGAACGCUGGCGGUAGGCCUAACACAUGCAAGUCGAACGGCAGCACAGUAAGAGCUUGCUCUUACGGGUGGCGAGUGGCGGACGGGUGAGGAAUACAUCGGAAUCUACUUUUUCGUGGGGGAUAACGUAGGGAAACUUACGCUAAUACCGCAUACGACCUACGGGUGAAAGCAGGGGAUCUUCCGACCUUGCGCGAUUGAAUGAGCCGAUGUCGGAUUAGCUAGUUGGCGGGGUAAAGGCCCACCAAGGCGGCGAUCCGUAGCUGGUCUGAGAGGAUGAUCAGCCACACUGGAACUGAGACACGGUCCAGACUCCUACGGGAGGCAGCAGUGGGGAAUAUUGGACAAUGGGCGCAAGCCUGAUCCAGCCAUACCGCGUGGGUGAAGAAGGCCUUCGGGUUGUAAAGCCCUUUUGUUGGGAAAGAAAAGCAGCAGGUUAAUACCCCGCUGUUCUGACGGUACCCAAAGAAUAAGCACCGGCUAACUUCGUG